rnacentral:rRNA from 1 species
GAGAUGUGUAUAAGAGACAGGACUAUAAGUCUCCUGAAGGAACGUUAAAGACGAUGACGUUGAUAGGCCGGGUGUGUAAGCGCAGCGAUGCGUUGAGCUAACCGGUACUAAUGAACCGUGAGGCUUAACCUUACAACGCCGAAG